AUGCUGGCUUAUAGCCAGCUAACUGCUUCUUACCCACAGAGAACACUGAGUAUCAAGUGUGAACAAAGCCGUGUUGCUUCUGUUCUUGGCUCAGCACCUGCGGAAGAAGGUCUCCCAUAAAAAAUGAGAGGAGAGAGUCUGCUGAACUAUGGAUAAAAAUGUCUACGCUGGAAUUACACACGAUCUUGAUAUUUCCUCGCAAGGCUCACCUUGAGCAAACGAGCGCCUGUAUAGUGCUGGUAGAAGACAGAACAUGGAAUGGUCCCAAUCCUGGGAAGAGGUGGAAUUUUAAGGAAGGAAAAGGAACUUAACCCGAAGCUGAGCCAAGGCCAGAGCCGUCUAGCUCUCGCCAACCAGGGGAUGACACGGAGCAUGGAGUCCUGCGGCCCCUGUCCUCGCUGCCCUCUGCAGCCCCUCUCAUCUGCCAGUUGGACUCCCCGCAGGGAGAUGGCCCCGGGCUCACACCUGCUGUUGGUCCACAGAUGUUCGUGAGUCUCUGCCUUCUGCGUUCGCCAUUUUCCAAAAGCCGCCCCGAGCUGGGUAUCGGCACCGUCACCACCACCGCCCCGCUGCGGCUCUGCACAGGUCCUCCUGGCCGCCUCUCAGCUGUCUCGUCUUUGUAGAGUGGGGGACAAGCCCUGCCAUCCUGACGGGCGGAGAGACAGUGGCAGGCACUGCUUCUAUUCGUCCCGCACGCGCUUCCUCCUCCCCUAGUAACGGGGCCCUGGGUUUUACGGGUGGCCAGAGUGCCCGAGCCCCGUGGAGGUAAGGUGCGGCCAGAGGAG
ensembl:lncRNA